UACGUAGGGUGCAAGCGUUGUCCGGAAUCAUUGGGCGUAAAGCGCGCGUAGGUGGCCAUUUAAAGUCCGCUGUGAAAGUCAAAGGCUCAACCUUUGAAAGCCGGUGGAUACUGGAUGGCUAGAGUACGGAAGAGGCGAGUGGAAUUCCUGGUGUAGCGGUGGAAUGCGCAGAAUAUCAGGAGGAACACCAAUAGCGAAGGCAGCUCGCUGGGACUUACUGACACUGAGGCGCGAAAGCGUGGGGAGCGAACAGG
rnacentral:rRNA from 1 species